UAGGUCCCAUAGCUCUCUGAGGUCGCCUCCAUCUUAACUUUCCACAGCCAGGACACAUCUUGGGCAAAGCUGCCUCAUAAGCAAACGAUUGUCUCCUGCUUUGCUAGCUCACUCCUUCUGAAGAAGCUGACAAUUAUCCAACAUCCCAUUGCCAGCUGGCUUCAGCCAAUAGAAUUGCGGCAUGCAAAUAGAGCAUCUGCAGCUACUCUGGGUCAGGCUAUACUGCAAAGUAGGAGGAAUUUCCUCUAAGAGGCGGAAAUUCAGCUCUUAGAUGGGGGGAAAAUGAAAAAAAAAAUCAGAAAUAUUUUUUUAUGUUGGCGGCAUUUCUGCUGCUCCUUGGCAUGAAGGAAAGAAGGAGAAUGUUGACGGGUAUUCUUUCUUCCAAAGUGCACUGCAUAUAGGAAGGAGAUUUGAACACAGACACGCACAGGAGGGAGACCAUGUGAAAAUUCCAGGAGAAGGCGGCCAUCUACAAGUCAAAGGAGAGAGACCUUAGAGGAAACCAACCAUGCUGACACCUUGACCGCAGACUCCCAGCCUCCAGAACUGUGAGAAAGCUUCUUCAUGCGCUGUGCUCCUUCUCUUGUUUCUGGAAGGGCAACUCCUCAACACCCUGCCUUCCAACCAGCUGGGCAGAAGAGGAAGACCUUGGGUCUUCCUUCAAGACUGGGAAACACCCAGGGGCACCUUACGUGAGGAGUGUGGUGGUCCUGGAGGGGAGAAGAUGCUUCCUGGAAGAGACUUUCCUAUCCUGGCCAGGUUGCUGCUCCUCCUCAGCCCCCAGGUCCCUCAGGGACUGUGCUGGUCUUUGAUGGGCUGUUCCUGGCACUUCAGGUGGUUCUCCCUGACUUCCCACCAUGCCUCCCUCCCACAGCUCUCAUCCUGACCGUCUCCAGCCAGGUGGACCCUCAGUUUGCAGCACCAGGAGGCUGAACCAGAAAAAGUAAAGAAGUGGCCAGAAGUAGAGGGUUUAGUGGUAUCAGUUAAGGGAUUAAAGUUGUCUUUUACUCAACAGUCUUAUAUUGAGCACUUAACUUGUGGCAGGAUCUUUGCUAAGACACAUGUGAUAAACCAGAGUGAUGGUGCCAACCCUCUAGGGCUAUUGCUUAAUGCAAUCAGUUCUAUAGAAGUAAAAUAAUCAUAAUAGCUACUAGGUACUUAUUUGAAAUUUGUUUCCCAGGCACUGUGCUAAGUUGCUUUAUGGGGAAUUUCUUACUUGAUUUUCAUAAUAAUAUUAUGAAAUAGGUGCUAUUAAAACCUUCCUGAGGGUGUAAGUACAGCAUGGUGACUCUAGGUAAUAACACCUCUUUGUAUAUUUCAAAAUUGCUAAGAGAGUGCAAGUUAAGAUUUCCCAUUCAAAGAAAAAACAACUUAGAACUUUGUGUGGUAAUGGAUGUUAACUAGACCUGUGGUGGUGACCACUUCACAAUAUAUACAAAUAUGGAAUCUUUACAUUGUACACCUGAAACUAAUAUAAAGUUAGGGGUCAAUUAUAGCUCAAAAAUUACAAAAGAGGAUAAACAAAUUUGGGGGAUCUAAUGUAGAGCAUUACAUUAGAUGGUCUUCCUAGUGGUCACAUAUAGAUGUGACAGCUGGACCAUAAAGAAGGCAGAUGGCCAAAGAGUUGAUGCCUUCGAACUGUGGUGUUGGAGAAGACUCCUGAGAGUCCCUUGGACAGCAAGGAGAUCAAACCAGUCAGUCUUAAGGGAAAUCAACCCAACUGCUCAUUGGAAGGACUGAUGCUGAAGCUGAAGCACUAGUAUUUUGGUUACCUGCCAUGAACAGCCGACUCAAUGAAAAAGUCCCUGAUGCUGGGAAAGAUUGAGGGCAGAGGAGAAGAGGGCAUCAGAGGAUGAGAUGGCUGGAUGGCAUCACUGAUACAAUGGACGUGAACUUGGGCAAAGUUCGGGAGAAUUUUGGAGAGAUGGUGAGAGACAGGGAGGCCUGGCAUGCUGCAGUCCAUGGGGUCACUGAAUCAGAACCGACAGGGCAACUAAACAACGGCAACAAUGUCCAGCAUGGGGAUUAUAGCUAAUACUGUAUUAUAUACUUAAAUGUGCUGAGAAAGUAGAUCUGAAAUGUUCAGACCACAAAAAAGAAAUGGUAAUUAUGUGACAGGAAAGCAUGUUAGCUAAGCCACUCUAGUCAAUCUGGUGAUAUAUAAGUGUAUAAUCCACAUGUUGUACACCUUAAACUUAAGCAAUGUUCUAUGUCAAUUAUAUCUCAAGAAAGCUGAAAA